rnacentral:tRNA from 1 species
AAAGGGAAAUAGUUUAAUAGUAAAAUACAAGUCUCCAAAACUUUAGAUAUCAGUGCAAUUCUGAUUUUCCCUG